rnacentral:tRNA from 1 species
AGUAAAGUCAGCUAAUUAAGCUUCUGGGCCCAUACCCCAGCAAUGUUGGUUAAAAUCCUCCCGUUACUA